rnacentral:rRNA from 1 species
AUGAACGCUGGCGGCGUGCCUAAUACAUGCCAGUCGAGCGAACAGACGAGGAGCUUGCUCCUCUGACGUUAGCGGCGGACGGGUGAGUAACACGUGGAUAACCUACCUAUAAGACUGGGAUAACUUCGGGAAACCGGAGCUAAUACCGGAUAAUAUAUUGAACCGCAUGGUUCAAUAGUGAAAGACGGUUUUGCUGUCACUUAUAGAUGGAUCCGCGCCGCAUUAGCUAGUUGGUAAGGUAACGGCUUACCAAGGCGACGAUGCGUAGCCGACCUGAGAGGGUGAUCGGCCACACUGGAACUGAGACACGGUCCAGACUCCUACGGGAGGCAGCAGUAGGGAAUCUUCCGCAAUGGGCGAAAGCCUGACGGAGCAACGCAGCGUGAGUGAUGAAGGUCUUCGGAUCGUAAAACUCUGUUAUUAGGGAAGAACAAAUGUGUAAGUAACUAUGCACGUCUUGACGGUACCUAAUCAGAAAGCCACGGCUAACUACGUG